rnacentral:lncRNA from 1 species
AAUUACAACAUGAAAAACAAACGAAAUAGAGCAAAAUUAAAUUGUAUUUUUGAAAUUUUCUAAGACGAUGUUAACAUUUUCUGUUUUUCGGACUUGUAUAAUGAAAUUUCUUGUCAUGAUUAGAUAAUGUUUUAAAAAUAUAUUUCAAAAACUAAGCGUAACUUGUACGUUAGAGAAAAAAGUAUUAUAAAAGAGGUGUUAUGGUUGUGAUUUGGUUCAUUGCAACAUUAAUAAAAUCGGUGGUUACGAUAAGGAAGAUGGCAUAUCCACGCGGGAAUCUUCCUGACAUACCUAUCCCGAAGUCUGGCAUCCCUAGCUCUCGUCCUAGGCCGCCACCAAGAGACACACCUGUGCAAAUUCAGAAUGAGCCUUCCAUCCGUAUCCCGGUGCCUGGAACCGCUCGCCCUCGUCCUAGGCCGCCACCAACACACUAGGUGCCCUAGGCUUACCCUACCACUAUUUUCUCAUCUUCAUACAAAUAAACAUCUUCACUUCUUUCUCUUCCAUAAGAAGAUUGUCUCAACAAUUUUUGUAAUCUCUUUUGUUUGUUUUAUUGUUUGAUGAUUUGUAAGAUUUAAAUUAUUUUUAUUUAUGAGAAGCUUUUUAUCAAGAGAAUGCUUGCUUCCAUACCAAAACUAACCAACUAAUUACCAAAUUUCAAUUUCAUAUCAUCCUGUAGAAAUAUAAUUAAAGUGAUAAUCAAUUUAUAAAUUACUAAUUUUUGGUUAAUCUCAAUGUGCUUAUAGGUUUAAUAGCUGAUUAAAUCAGUAAGUUAUAUUACCCUCUUCAUGGUACACACAUACUUGUUUCUUCCUUCAUAAAAGUGAGAAGGGUUGGUUGAUUACUUUCUAAGGCUAAGGUUUUGUAUGUAACAGAAAAGGUGGUUGUUUUGUUCUAGCUUUUAAAUUUUUCACAUACAAAAACUUCCCUUGAUCACUUCCAUGCCAUUCAUGCUUAAUGGAUUGUCAAAAAUUGAACACAAAACCAAUGACUAAUUCACUUGGGUGCUUUAUUCAUUUUUCCAAUUUAUGUUGCUCAGUCUCCUCUUAUGAACCAACCUCAGUGUUGGUGUUGUUGCUUAGGUCCUCCUAUUUUGGUUGUUAUUGGAAGGGACUGUCCCCAAGCCACCGUUUUUUAACACCUCCUCCUUGAUAGUCUCAUCGUGAAUUUCUCAGGGGUCAUACAUUAUAGUGGUUAGUGCUGUUGUUGUUCUUACUAGCUUGUUGCACAUAUGAUACUCGUACCUUUAAAGACUGCAGAGCUUCCUCUUGCUAAGAUUAGUGGGAAUUUUCACUUCUUACAUCAUGCACAAUCCAGUUAUCAAGCUUCAAAAGGAUAAGGACUUUGCAGUACCCCUUGAAGUUGCUUUGAGGUGGCUAUCUUGAAGAUUUGUUAGUGAUCAGGUCUGCCACAUACAUCAAAUAGUCAUGCAUGAUGUAAUAAAUCAGUUGUGCCUUGUCCAUGGUCAAGUAGUAGACAUGAGAGUUUGGGGUCCUGACAAUACAAAUGUGACCCAAAUUUGUCAAUUCCAUCAAAUAGCCAUUUUUUUCUUACAUAGCACAAAUUCCUUUUACAUUUACUAAGAUAGCAUACUCCGUGUUUUAUUUACCCGA